CCAGACUCGAGACUAACCUUGGUCUUAGCUGCAUCUUUGGAUUUGUCUUCCAUUUGAGAAUAGAUUCAAACCAAUAUCACUUGGUUGAUGUCUCAAAAACGCUUCAGAAAUGUAAAUCAACAACGACUGCCAAACGUAGACAGCCGAGCAAGUUGGCAGAGCAGCCAGGAUAGCUUGCAGCACUCACAAGGCUCAAUCCAGAGUUUCCACUUGGAAUGAAAUGGAAUGGAAUGGAAUGAAGUGCCCUUUUGAAGAGAAGAUACUUAGGCUGCUUUUAUACC